ensembl:lncRNA
AAUACUUCAAGCUAUCCUAUACACUAUCUUGCAGUAUUUUAAAGGCAAAGAUGAAGACCAUCCCAAUCGUCUCUCUGGAAAUCUUCCUUCAAAGAGGUAGCUUUGGAGAUGUUGCUACUUAAGAUUCCACAGGCUAAAUGCACCAUCAGUGGAUGCAUAGAACAAGGCAAGAGAUGGCUGGAAUCAACCUCGAGAAGCUAUAGUAUAAAGUGGAUCACAGAUUGCUCACGCUUAAAAGGUGAACCAUUUGAUAGUGGUAAUAAUAACCACAGAAAGGAAGAGGAGAGAAAUGUUGAAAGAAACAGAAGGCUGAAACAUUCGACAUCCCCUGUACUUCUGUCUUUGCAGAAAAUGUUCAAAAUGCUUAGCGCAACAAGCUUGAGCAAGAGAAGCACAGGCAAAAACAGGGAAAGAGCAGGGUGUUUGAAUGUCAGAUGAAUUCACAUCAGUGGGACCUACAGAAAUUCAUCCUGGAGCGCUUAGGAAACUUGUUAGAGCAAUCUCUAAACCAUUAGUAAUUAUCAUCAAGAUCUUAUGGAAACUGUUGUGUUCCCAAAGGCCUGAGGAAAGACAAAUUAGUAGCUUUUAAAAGUGGAAAAGAAGAACUUGGGGAUUAGUAGACAAGGUGGCAUUGCAAUGACACCUGGAAAGAUACUGGGACAAAUGAUUAAUAAUCUGUUUUUAAGACUCUCAAGCAUAACAAGCAGAAAAGAAGCAAACAACACAGAUUCGUCAAAAGCAGAUCACAUAAGACCAAACUCAUUAGCUUCUUUGACAGUAUAACUGGCUUUGUGGAGUGUGAAGAAGCUGUUAGAAGUGAUUUAGUUUGACUUCUGUAAGGCUUUCAAGAUAGUCUCUCCUACAUGCAGCAGAAAAACAGAGUUAUAAUUUGAUUUGUCUAAGGUGAGUGUAUCAUUCUCUAAAUUCAAAAGUGCUAUGUUAACAUACUGGGAGGGUAUUUUAAUAGAGGCAUAGAUGUGCCUUGCUCCUGUUUAAUUAUUUCACAAAAGACAUUCAAGAUGGGGCAGAGAAUCCAGCUAUAAAAACUGCUAUAGUUGAAAUCUGGCUGGUUGAAAGCACCUUGGAUGAAAAUCUUAUAGAAAGUAACAAUCUUGAUCAAGUGGAGAAAUUGUUUGAAUUCAACAGAAUGAAAUUCAUCAUGGACUGCAAAGUGGAUUAAGGAAGGACGGAAGAGUGUACAAACACAAAAUAUGCAAUACCUGGUAAAGACUUUAACAGACUUCAUGCUAUAUGAGUCUAAACAACAUGCCCCAAAAAUGCAAGUGUCUUUCUGAGAUGUACUAACAGAAGCAUAGUGAGUACAACAAGGUCAGUCAUUAUUCCAUUCUACUCGUUUCAAUACAGACACAGCCUUACUGAAGGAGUUUAUCCCAUUUUCCACAACACUUGAGGAAAAAUGAAUAACAUGGAGAGAUCUCAAAGAGGGCAAAAAAUAAUGAGAAGGUAAUAAACAUGAUUUAUCAAGAUAGAAGGAGCUGAUAGAGAAGACUAUAGAAGGCUUUGCUUCAUUUCCUUCACUAUAAAAAUUUAUUAUAAACUGUUGUUUUCUGCAUUUACCUAUGAUGUAUGGACUAUUAGCAAGAACUACAACAGGCUAGAUAUGAGGUAGGACUUUGUAAUGAUAGCACAAAAUAAGCUCUAGAAUAGUUUAUAGAUAGGGAGGCUGUGAAAUGUUUACCACAAAAAUGUUUUAAAUGUGGAUUAGAGAAACAUCUGUCAAUGGACAUUUAGACAGAGGCUGGACUAGAUAAGUCACUUGAGGUCCUUAUAUUUUUGUGUAGCUGAACCAGCAAUCACCAUGAAGCUUGUGCUUGGAAUGGGCAAGAACUUCAGCCACUGGGUACCCCCUAAUCUCCAAAAUAUAGGUACUAGAGCUAGUUGAGAGUCAGUAGAGAAAAGGAUAAUAAUAGUUCUUCUGGAACAGAAAGCUUAUUUGCAUUCUAGGCCUGCCCGUAUUUGCAUUUAUUUUGUGUGGCUAUAGGUAUUCAGUGCAACACAAGUUUCAGUUUCCUUCCCAGACUGCGUACUCAUUAUGUGUGGCCUAAAUGACUCUAAAUUCUUUCAAGCUUUUUGCUGCUUUCUGUGUUACAUGAAUGCAACCAACACCUUACACAGUUGUGUAGGAAUUCAACUGAAGAUCACAUUUGCAUUACCCUGUAAGGGUUAUACUUUCAAAUGAAGACCCAAAGGAAGGUUUGCAGGCCGAAAAGCUUGUUUCAUUUUUCCUAUUACUUUUUCGUUCAAUGAAAAGAUACUACUUCUUCCUACAAUUUUUUUCUCACUUAUAUCCCUUGACAGUCUUACCACUGGUACUGUUCACACAUGCUUCGAACUGUUCACACAUGCUAAACUAUUGCGGCCUUCAUAAUUUCAAACAUUUAAAUGAUGAAAAAUGAAAAGUUAUGCCACAAGCAUAACUGCAUUGCUGUGCUUUGAGGAAAAAAAUAUGCCCAUGGUGCACUAUGUUUUAGUUGCAUCUUUUUCGUUAACCGUAUCAACUACUGAAAUUAUCAUAGUAGAUGUCCCAUUUUUUUCUUACAAGAGAUCUUAGAAUAGCAGUCUUCUGCUACCCUACCAAUGGUCUUUACCCACUAUUUC